GACGAACGCUGGCGGCGUGCUUAACACAUGCCAGUCGAACGGAAAGGCCCUGCUUUUGUGUGGUGCUCGAGUGGCGAACGGGUGAGUAACACGUGAGUAACCUUCCCUUGACUUUGGGAUAACUUCAGGAAACUGGGGCUAAUACCGGAUAGGAGCUCCUGCUGCAUGGUGGGGGUUGGAAAGUUUCGGCGGUUGGGGAUGGACUCGCGGCUUAUCAGCUUGUUGGUGGGGUAGUGGCUUACCAAGGCUUUGACGGGUAGCCGGCCUGAGAGGGUGACCGGCCACAUUGGGACUGAGAUACGGCCCAGACUCCUACGGGAGGCAGCAGUGGGGAAUAUUGCACAAUGGGCGGAAGCCUGAUGCAGCAACGCCGCGUGCGGGAUGACGGCCUUCGGGUUGUAAACCGCUUUCGCCUGUGACGAAGCGUGAGUGACGGUAAUGGGUAAAGAAGCACCGGCUAACUACGUG
rnacentral:rRNA from 1 species